GUCCUGCAGCCCGCUGGCUGGGUGCUCUCCACAGGACCCCCCGCCCCCGGCCCCCUGCUGUUCCCAUGAUGCCUCAGUGACUCCUACUAUAUGAUACUAAUCAUACUCUGCUUUUAUAACACAAGGUCUGCUCUGUUUUCAACUACUAAUGUCUUGAGGCAACACCUUUUUUCUACACUACAAUGUUUAAACCCUUCCCGUCUCUCUUGGUUCUGCCAAUAGUCACUUUGUGUGUGUUUGUGCGUGCGUGCGUGUGUGCGUGCACGUGUGUCUGUGUGUGUGAGUGAGUGAGUGAAAAAGCGGAAGGCUUGGAUUGCUGACACUACACAGAUAAAAGCCCACAGGACGUGCACACAAACAAAACGCACAAAAGGCUUUUAAUUUGAAAGAUUUGUAUCCACUCGUUCCUCCGCCUCCUGUAGACGUGGACACGGCAGUCUGUCUGUAUGACUUAACCAGACAAUGAACUACAUUCCAAAGAGUGUGUGUGUGUGUGUGUGUGUGUGUGUGUGUGUGUGGUCAUUUACACAGAAUGUUUUCUCCGUGUUUGAGUAGCUACCAGCGCUCAAACCAAUAGCUUUAAUUUCAGCCUCAUUGCCAAGACACCCAAGUGACAUAAUGCUGUUUAGUUUGAGUCCUUAUUUGGGCCGCUGCCCCUGCCGCGACCUCUGACCCCUCAGUGCACACUAACGAGUGGGCGUGUCUCCUCUGAGGAGGACCUCGUUAGCCACCAGGAGGAGGCCCCAGGGGCGAGGAAGAGCGUUGGUUUGAGAUGUUCAGGUUCGAUACCCAUCGCAGACCGCGGUCUUCAGCUUUCUGUUUAACUGAGAUCUGAGUGUUUCACUACGAGCGUCUGAGUCAUGACUCUAACAACGUGUGUGUGUGUGUGUGUGUGUGUGUGUGUGUGUGUGUGUGUGUCUCUAACUAGCCUACAGAUCUUUUAUAUAAUCACAGUUGAACCACCUCAAUGGGUUCCUCAGAAGAUGUUGAUUGUUGACACAUGUCCUACCAGUCAGCCUGUGGUGAUCCCCCCGUAGACGCCACUGGUCGUACUGGUCGUACUGGUCCUCCAGGGUCGGGGGAGCUGGUACCUCCAGCGUCCUCCAGGCCACCGGCUGGAUGCUGGUCUGUGGGUCCCAGCCAGCACACGCCUUUUAUUUAUUCAGGGUUUUGGAGAAGCUUGUUGCUCCAGGUGGUCCCUGAGGGCCCGGUCCAGGGCCCCGCCGUGAGGGCCCAGUCAAGGGGCCAGGGCCGGGUCCAGGGCCGGGUCCGGGUCCAGGGCCGGGUCCGGGUCCAGGGCCUGGUCCAGGGCCGGGUCCAGGGCCUGGUCCAGGGCCGGGUCCAGGCCGGGUCCAGGGCCUGGUCCAGGGCCGGGUCCAGGGCCUGGUCCGGGGCCGGGUCCGGGGCCUGGUCCGGGGCCGGGUCCGGGGCCGGGUCCAGACUUCUCGUGUCUGUGGAGGCAAGGCCGAGUGGAGCUGAGGAGGAAAGGCUGGGGGUCGUAGUGGAUCCUCCUUCCUGUGGUUGAAGUUGUAGUGUGGCGCUGUGACCUGAGGGGGCGCUGUCCCCUGAGACCAGGGGUCUCCUGUUGGACUCAGGGAGGGGGGGCCGGCUUAUAGUCCACUGACGGUGACUGUUAUCAUCCUGAUCGCUCAGCGUUCCUCUGGUGAGGUUCGUUGCUCCGAUUCAAUGUUCACGGAAUGGCUCGCAGGCUAGGUGGCUCGCAGGCUAGGUGUAACGCAGGCUAGGUGUAACGCAGGCUAGGUGGCUCGCAGGCUAGGUGGCUCGCAGGCUAGGUGGCUCGCAGGCUAGGUGUAAUGCAGGCUAGGUGUCACGCAGGCUAGGUGGCUCGCAGGCUAGGUGGCUCGCAGGCUAGGUGGCUCGCAGGCUAGGUGGCUCGCAGGCUAGGUGUAAUGCAGGCUAGGUGCCUCACAGGCUAGGUGGCUAACAGGCUAACCCAGUUGGUGAUGUUCUGGGGCCGCUAGCUCGCAGCGCUAAUAGGCUAACCCAGUUGGGGAUGUUCUGGGGCCGCUAGCUCGCAGCGUUAACAGGCUAACCCAGUAGGGGGUGUUGUGGGGGCGCUAGCUCCCAGCGCUACCACGCUAGGCGGCUAACCCAGUAGGGGGUGUUGUGGGGCCGCUAGCUCUCAGCGCUACCAGGCUAGGCGGCUAACAGGCUAACCCAGCAGGGGGUGUUGUGGGGGAGCUAGCUCUCAGCGCUACCAGGCUAGGCAGCUAAUAGGCUUACCCAGUAGGGGGUGUUGUGGGGCUGCUAGCUCUCAGCGCUACCGGGCUACAUGCUACCCACCUGGAGACUGGAGGGGUUGUAGAGUUCGUUGAGUUCAUUAAAACAAUGCUGGUUAAAUCGUGUGUUUCCCCCCUAGUCACUAUAGAGAUGCUAUCUGUACAUUUGGAGUUAUUUCCAAUUUCAAAACACUCAAAGUGGUUUAUGACUCAUUAAAAAAAGGACAAAAAAAGUCGACGUGCGGGAGGAGAGGGUCACAGCGAUGUGAAGGUCUGUCAGUUUCAUGUUUUACCUGUCGCAUCUUUUUGGACUGGAUAUGAUAAUUAAGAUGUAAGAAUUUUGUAGUAUCAUAUCAAGUGAAUCAUUCUUUGCUAGGCAUAGAGACUGCUUGUGAUUGACAGCUAUGUAUACCUUGUAAAAUAGUAAAGAAAAAAAGGAAAAAAACUAAAAUAGAAUUUGUAAAAAUGAAAAAUCCAGAAAAAAAAAGAAUCAGUAAUCAGUCAGAGGCCAAGGUAAAGGACUCGUUUCUUUGUGUUUUUUAAUUUUAUUUUUUUAAUAGCAACUUAUCACUGUGUGAUAUUUUGUACAUCAUAUUACGCUGUAUUCAAACUGUUUCCUCAAUCAACAGGCCAUAGGAGACCUGCCUUUUUAUUUAGUUUUAUUAUAUAUAUUUUUGAAUUGCAUUCUGGCUUGUAUCUAAUAACAUGUCCCUGUUUCUUUGUUUACGGGUCCCUAUGUACGUUAUUGAGCAAAAAAUAAAGAUUUUGUACAGUGAAAAGAGAGUCGUGGUCUGUCAACCUUUAUCUAUGUGUCCAACAAACGCCCCUUGGCAGUCAAGCCUUUAAGAUAGGAAUUCAGGUCAUUUCAACGCAUGGGCAUUUAUGCAAUUACACAUUGUUGUGACUUUAAUUGUUUCACACAAAUUCACAUUAAAAACAUAAUUUUUCAUGUGAAACCAGU
ensembl:lncRNA